rnacentral:rRNA from 1 species
GUGCCAGCAGCCGCGGUAAUACGGAGGUGGCAAGCGUUGUUCGGAAUUACUGGGCGUAAAGGGCGCGUAGGCGGAAUGGUCCGUCCGAUGUAAAAGUGCUACCGCUUAACGGAGCAAAGUCAUCGGAUACCACCGUUCUGGAGGCCGGGAGAGGUGAGCGGAAUUGCUGGUGUAGCGGUGGAAUGUAUAGAUAUCAGCAAGAACACCGGUGGCGAAGGCGGCUCACUGGCCCGGUUCUGACGCUGAGGCGCGAAAGCGUGGGGAGCAAACGGGAUUAGAUACCCCGGUAGUCCACGCCCUAAACGGUGGGCACUAGGUGUGGGAGGUAUCGACCCCUCCCGUGCCGCAGCCAACGCAAUAAGUGCCCCGCCUGGGGAGUACGGCCGCAAGGUUGAAACUCAAAUGAAUUGGCGGGG